CCUGGUUGAUCCUGCCAGUAAUCAUAUGCUUGUCUCAAAGAUUAAGCCAUGCAUGUCUAAGUACAUGCCGAAAUAAGGCGAAACCGCGAAUGGCUCAUUAAAUCAGUUAUGGUUCCUUAGAUCGUUUCUUCCUACUUGGAUAACUGUGGCAAUUCUAGAGCUAAUACAUGCAGUGAGCCUGGAGCCCUUUGGGUAACGGGUGCUUUUAUUAGACCAAGAUCGAUCGGGUUUCGGCCCGUAUUGUGUGGUGACUCUGGAUAACUUUGUGCUGAUCGCAUGGCCACGAGCCGGCGACGUUUCUUUCAAGUGUCUGCCUUAUCAACUUUCGAUGGUAGGUUACUUGCUUACCAUGGUUGUUACGGGAACGGAGAAGUCCCUAGGUUCGAUUCCGGAGAGGAGCGCCUGAAAAGGCUUUACCACCAUUCCCAAGGGGAAGGGCAGCAAAUGGCCCCGCCGGCAAAUUACCCACUCCCCCGUGGACAACGGGGGAGGUAGUGGGACGAAGAAAAAAUAACAAUACGGGACUCUUUUGAGGCCCCGUAAUUGAAAUGAGUACACUCUAAAUCCUUUAACGAGGAUCAAUUGGAGGGCAAGUCUGGUGCCAGCAGCCGCGGUAAUUCCAGCUCCAAUAGCGUAUACUAAAGCUGCUGCGGUUAAAAAGCUCGUAGUUGGAUCUCAGUUCCAGACGAGUAGUGCAUCUACCCGAUGCGACGGCUCGGACUGAACAUCAUGCCGGUUCUUUCUUGGUGCACUUCAUUGUGUGCCUCGAGAUGGCCGGUGCUUUUACUUUGAAAAAAUUAGAGUGCUCAACGCAGGCGAGUCGCCUGAAUAAACUUGCAUGGAAUAACAGAACAAAGGUAUUGUUGUUGGUUUUUUGGAAAUACGAGUAAAAGAUAAAAGGGACGGACGGGGGCAUUCGUAUUGCGGCGCAUGUGGUGAAAUUCUUGGACCGUCGCAAGACGAACUACUGCGAAAGCAUUUGCCAAGAAUGUUUUCAUUGAUCAAGAACGAAAGUCAGAGGUUCGAAGGCGAUCAGAUACCGCCCUAGUUCUGACCAUAAACGAUGCCAACCAGCGAUCCGCCUGAGUUACUCAAAUGACUGGCGGGCAGCUUCCGGGACCAAAAGAUUGGGUUCCGGGGGAAGUAUGGUUGCAAAGCUGAAACUUAAAGGAAUUGACGGAAGGGCACCACCAGGAGUGGAGCCUGCGGCUUAAUUUGACUCAACACGGGAAAACUUACCCGGCCCGGACACUGGGAGGAUUGACAGAUUGAGAGCUCUUUCUUGAUUCGGUGGAUGGUGGUGCAUGGCCGUUCUUAGUUGGUGGAGCGAUUUGUCUGGUUAAUUCCGAUAACGAACGAGACUCUAGCCUAUUAAAUAGGUGCGGGGUUCCCAGCACCUUACAACCUUCUUAGAGGGACAAGCGGCUCCUAGCCGCACGAAACAGAGCAAUAACAGGUCUGUGAUGCCCUUAGAUGUCCGGGGCCGCACGCGCUACACUGAAGGAAGCAGCGUCUGUUUAUCCCUGUCUGAAAAGACUGGGUAACCCGUGGAACUUCUUUCGUGAUUGGGAUAGGGGCUUGCAAUUGUUCCCCUUGAACGAGGAAUUCCCAGUAAGCGCGAGUCAUAAGCUCGCGUUGAUUACGUCCCUGCCCUUUGUACACACCGCCCGUCGCUACUACCGAUUGAAUGAUUUAGUGAGGUCUUCGGACCGAUGUCCGGCGCGGCCUUUCGGUUGCUCCGGUCUGUUGGAAAGAUGACCAAACUUGAUCAUUUAGA
rnacentral:rRNA from 1 species